ensembl:lncRNA SYT9-AS1 SYT9 antisense RNA 1
CUGCCAUGAUUCUGAGGCCUCCCCAGCCAUGUGGAACUGGCUCAGUGUGGUCAAAAGAAGACUAUAGAAUCAAGGAUGAAGAGAAGGAACACAGAAUAAAAGGACGUCUCAGCAGGAAGCUCUGUGACUACUAUGUGUCUCAUCUUCAGCACUUCUAAACUGUGGGAAACUAUGUGAAAACAAAUGGAGUGGCCAAACACACCAUUCAUCACUGUGCUUCUGGACAGCUGCAAGUCCAUACGUGUUCUGAUGAAGUCUGGCUCUGUUGCCCAGGCUGGAGUGCAAUGGCACAGUCUCGGCUCACUGCAACCUCUGCCUCCUGGGUUCAUGCAAUUCUCCUGCCUCAGCUUCCCAAGUAGCUGGGAUUACAGACAUGCACCACCAUGCCCAGCUAAUUUUUGUAUUUUUAGUACAAACAGGGUUUCACUAUGUUAGUCGGGCUGAUCUUGAACUCCUGACCUCAAGUGAUCCACUCCCCGCAGCCUCCCAAAGUGCUGGGAUUAC